rnacentral:rRNA from 1 species
CCCUUAGAUGUCCUGAACCGCACGCGUGUUACACUGAUGCAUUCAACGAGCUUUACCUUGGCCGAGAGGCCUGGGAAAUCUUUUUAGCAUGCAUCGUGAUAGGGAUUGAUUAUUGCAAUUAUUAAUCAUGAACGAGGAAUUCCUAGUAAACGCAUUUCAUCAAAAUGCAUUGAUUACGUCCCUGCCCUUUGUACACACCGCCCGUCGCACCUACCGAUUGAGCGGUCCGGUGAAGUCUCGAGAUUGUGGCAAUCUCCUUUAUUGGAGUUUGACUGCGAGAACUUGCCUAAACCUUAUCACUUAGAGGAAGGUGAAGUCGUAACA